GAACAGUGAAGAGAUGUUUGCGUUCAAUGUGAGGAUUGGGUUUCUCACGAGCUUCCGAUUCCGGAAGAAAACUGCGCAUCUGAGUUC